rnacentral:rRNA from 1 species
UACGUAGGUGGCAAGCGUUGUCCGGAAUUACUGGGCGUAAAGCGCACGCAGGCGGUCUGUCAAGUCGGAUGUGAAAUCCCCGGGCUCAACCUGGGAACUGCAUUCGAAACUGGCAGGCUGGAGUCUUGUAGAGGGGGGUAGAAUUCCAGGUGUAGCGGUGAAAUGCGUAGAGAUCUGGAGGAAUACCGGUGGCGAAGGCGGCCCCCUGGACAAGGACUGACGCUCAGGUGCGAAAGCGUGGGGGGCAAACAGG